rnacentral:rRNA from 1 species
GACGAACGCUGGCGGCGUGCCUAAUACAUGCAAGUUGAGCGCUGAAGGUUGGUACUUGUACCAACUGGAUGAGCAGCGAACGGGUGAGUAACGCGUGGGGAAUCUGCCUUUGAGCGGGGGACAACAUUUGGAAACGAAUGCUAAUACCGCAUAAAAACUUUAAACACAAGUUUUAAGUUUGAAAGAUGCAAUUGCAUCACUCAAAGAUGAUCCCGCGUUGUAUUAGCUAGUUGGUGAGGUAAAGGCUCACCAAGGCGAUGAUACAUAGCCGACCUGAGAGGGUGGUCGGCCACAUUGGGACUGAGACACGGCCCAAACUCCUACGGGAGGCAGCAGUAGGGAAUCUUCGGCAAUGGACGGAAGUCUGACCGAGCAACGCCGCGUGAGUGAAGAAGGUUUUCGGAUCGUAAAACUCUGUUGGUAGAGAAGAACGUUGGUGAGAGUGGAAAGCUCAUCAAGUGACGGUAACUACCCAGAAAGGGACAGCUAACUACGUG